rnacentral:rRNA from 1 species
UGAGUACGAGAUGCUACGGCGUCGAAGCAGUGUAUGUCAGACUUCCAAGAAAAGCUCGCAAUGUCAUAAAUAAAUAAUGCCUGUACCAUAACCGACACAGGUGGGUAGGUAGAGUAUACUAAGGGGCGCGAGAUAACUCUCUCUAAGGAACUCGGCAAAAUAACUCCGUAACUUCGGGAGAAGGAGUGCCUUAUUUUAUAAGGUUGCAAUAACAAGAUCCAAGCAACUGUUUACCAAAAACACAGGUCUCCGCUAAGUCGUAAGACGAUGUAUGGGGGCUGACGCCUGCCCAGUGCCAGAAGGUUAAAGAAGUCGGUUAGCUUUCCGAAGCUGAUACUGAAGCCCUGGUGAACGGCGGCCGUAACGAUAACGGUCCGAAGGUAGCGAAAUUCCUUGUCGGGUAAGUUCCGACCCGCACGAAAGGCGUAAUGAUUUGGAUACUGUCUCGGAGAGGGACUCGGUGAAAUAGACUUGUCUGUGAAGAUGCGGACUACCUGCACCAGGACAGAAAGACCCUAUGAAGCUUUACUGUAACUUGAAAUUGAAAUUGGACUUUAUUUGCGCAGUAUGGGUGGGAGGCGUUGAAAAUAAUCUUGCGGGAUUCUUGGAGCCAUCAGUGAGAUACCACUCCUAUAAUGUUAGAUUUCUAACUUUGUAUCAUAAUCUGGUCAAAGAACAGUUUCAGGCGGGCAGUUUGACUGGGGCGGUCGCCUCCCAAAUGGUAACGGAGGCGUACAAAGGUCUCCUCUGAACGGGUAGAAAUCGUAUCUAGAGUGUAAAGGCAUAAGGAAGCUUGACUGUGAGACCUACAAGUCGAGCAGGGACGAAAGUCGGUCUUAGUGAUCUGACGGUGCUGAGUGGAAAGGCCGUCACUCAACGGAUAAAAGUUACUCUAGGAUAACAGGCUGAUCUCCCCCAAGAGUUCACAUCGACGGGGAGGUUUGCCACCUCGAUGUCGGCUCAUCGCAUCCUGGGGCGGUAGUACGUCCCAAGGGUUGGGCUGUUCGCCCAUGAAAGCGGUACGCGAGCUGGGUUCAGAACGUCGUGAGACAGUUCGGUCCAUAUCCGGUGUAGGCGUUAGAAUAUUGAGAGGAGCCUUCUUUAGUACGAGAGGACCGAGAAGGACAUACCUCUGGUGUACCAGUUAUCGUGCCAACGGUAAACGCUGGGUAGCUAUGUAUGGAGAGGAUAACCGCUGAAAGCAUCUAAGUGGGAAGUCCACCUCAAGAUGAGUAUUCAC